ensembl:snoRNA
AUCCUUCUGUAGUUUAUAAGUGUCAUGACGGGGUGUCCAUGCACAUGUGUAAGAUGUGCCACCCUUGAAGCUUGUUACAACAUGGGCAGAUUACCAAUUUCACA